rnacentral:rRNA from 1 species
GAUGAACGCUGGCGGCGUGCCUAAUACAUGCAAGUCGAGCGAACGGACGAGAAGCUUGCUUCUCUGAUGUUAGCGGCGGACGGGUGAGUAACACGUGGAUAACCUACCUAUAAGACUGGGAUAACUUCGGGAAACCGGAGCUGAUACCGGAUGAUAUUUUGAACCGCAUGGUUCAAAAGUGAAAGACGGUCUUGCUGUCACUUAUAGAUGGAUCCGCGCUGCAUUAGCUAGUUGGUAAGGUAACGGCUUACCAAGGCAACGAUGCAUAGCCGACCUGAGAGGGUGAUCGGCCACACUGGAACUGAGACACGGUCCAGACUCCUACGGGAGGCAGCAGUAGGGAAUCUUCCGCAAAGGGCGAAAGCCUGACGGAGCAACGCCGCGUGAGUGAUGAAGGUCUUCGGAUCGUAAAACUCUGUUAUUAGGGAAGAACAUAUGUGUAAGUAACUGUGCACAUCUUGACGGUACCUAAUCAGAAAGCCACGGCUAACUACGUG